CCUACGGGGUGCAGCAGUGAGGAAUAUUGGUCAAUGGACGGAAGUCUGAACCAGCCAUGCCGCGUGCAGGAAGACUGCUCUAUGAGUUGUAAACUGCUUUUAUACAAGAGUAAACCUCAAUAUGUGUAUUCAGCUGAAAGUACUGUAUGAAUAAGGAUCGGCUAACUCCGUGCCAGCAGCCGCGGUAAUACGGAGGAUCCAAGCGUUAUCCGGAUUUAUUGGGUUUAAAGGGUGCGUAGGCGGGUUGAUAAGUUAGAGGUGAAAGUUCGGAGCUCAACUCGGGAACUGCCUCUAAUACUGUUGAUCUAGAGAGUAGAUGAGGUAGGCGGAAUGUAUGGUGUAGCGGUGAAAUGCUUAGAGAUCAUACAGAACACCGAUUGCGAAGGCAGCUUACCAAUCUAUAUCUGACGUUGAGGCACGAAAGCGUGGGGAGCAAACAGGAUUAGAUACCCUAGUAGUC
rnacentral:rRNA from 1 species